rnacentral:tRNA from 1 species
GCCGAAGUGGCGGAAUUGGCAGACGCGCUGUGUUCAGGGCGCAGUUCCUGUAUAGGAGUGUGGGUUCGACUCCCACCUUCGGCA